ACCUACAGCCACACCACACUGGACAUGCCCAAUCUCAUCUGAUCUUGGAAGUUAAGCUGUGUGUGACCUGGUUAGUACUUGGAUGGGAGACCACCUGGGAAUUCCAGGUGCUGUAGGUC